CCCCUUUCAGGGUCACACCUGGAGUGUUUCCAGUACUCUAUCAGUCUUGACUAUGAGAGGGAGAGUCAAGCAGAGGCCUACCCAUUCCAUUCCUAGCUUGGGCAGUGGCUAGCCAGUGGAAGAUAAUCUGCCACAAAU